rnacentral:rRNA from 1 species
GGGGGGGGGGGGGGGGGGGCCUGGGGCAGGGGGGUCGGGCGAACGGAGGAGAGGCGUGCUGCUCUGCUGUUAGCGGCGGACGGGUGAGUAACACGUGGAUAACCUACCUAUAAGGCUGGGAUAACUUCGGGAAACCGGAGCUAAUACCGGAUAAUAUUUUGAACCGCAUGGUUCACAAGUGAAAGACGGUCUUGCUGUCACUUAUAGAUGGAUCCGCGCUGCAUUAGCUAGUUGGUAAGGUAACGGCUUACAAAGGCAACGAUGCAUAGCCGACCUGAGAGGGUGAUCGGCCACACUGGAACUGAGACACGGUCCAGACUCCUACGGGAGGCAGCAGUAGGGAAUCUUCCGCAAUGGGCGAAAGCCUGACGGAGCAACGCCGCGUGAGUGAUGAAGGUCUUCGGAUCGUAAAACUCUGUUAUUAGGGAAGAACAUAUGUGUAAGUAACUGUGCACAUCUUGACGGUACCUAAUCAGAAAGCCACGGCUAACUACGUG